rnacentral:rRNA from 1 species
AACGAACGCUGGCGGCAGGCCUAACACAUGCAAGUCGAGCGAACCCUUCGGGGUUAGCGGCGGACGGGUUAGUAACGCGUGGGAAUAUACCCUUUGGUACGGAAUAGCCUCGGGAAACUGAGAGUAAUACCGUAUGUGCCCUUCGGGGGAAAGAUUUAUCGCCAAAGGAUUAGCCCGCGUUGGAUUAGAUAGUUGGUGGGGUAAUGGCCUACCAAGUCUACGAUCCAUAGCUGGUUUGAGAGGAUGAUCAGCAACACUGGGACUGAGACACGGCCCAGACUCCUACGGGAGGCAGCAGUGGGGAAUCUUAGACAAUGGGCGCAAGCCUGAUCUAGCCAUGCCGCGUGGACGAUGAAGGCCUUAGGGUUGUAAAGUCCUUUCAGAUGGGAAGAUAAUGACGGUACCAUCAGAAGAAGCCCCGGCUAACUCCGUGCUAGCAGCCGCGGUAAAGUAUCGUACG